rnacentral:SRP_RNA from 1 species
GCUGGGCGUGGUGGCGGGCGCCUGUAAUCCCAGCUACUCGGGAGGCUGAGGCAGGAGAAUUGCUUGAACCCAGGAGGCUGAGGCUGCAGUGAGCAGAGAUUACGCCACUGUGCUCCAGCCUGGGCGACAGAGUGAGACUCUGUCUCAU